rnacentral:rRNA from 1 species
GACGAACGCUGGCGGCGUGCCUAAUACAUGCAAGUAGAACGCUGAAGAGAGGAGCUUGCUCUUCUUGGAUGAGUUGCGAACGGGUGAGUAACGCGUAGGUAACCUGCCUUGUAGCGGGGGAUAACUAUUGGAAACGAUAGCUAAUACCGCAUAACAAUGGAUGACACAUGUCAUUUAUUUGAAAGGGGCAAUUGCUCCACUACAAGAUGGACCUGCGUUGUAUUAGCUAGUAGGUGAGGUAACGGCUCACCUAGGCGACGAUACAUAGCCGACCUGAGAGGGUGAUCGGCCACACUGGGACUGAGACACGGCCCAGACUCCUACGGGAGGCAGCAGUAGGGAAUCUUCGGCAAUGGGGGGCGAACCCUGACCGAGCAACGCCGCGUGAGUGAAGAAGGUUUCGGAUCGUAAAGCUCUGUUGUAAGUCAAGAACGAGUGUGAGAGUGGAAAGUUCACACUGUGACGGUAGCUUACCAGAAAGGGACGG